AGAGUUUGAUCCUGGCUCAGGACGAACGCUGGCGGCGUGCCUAAUACAUGCAAGUCGUACGCUUCUUUUUCCACCGGAGCUUGCUCCACCGGAAAAAGAGGAGUGGCGAACGGGUGAGUAACACGUGGGUAACCUGCCCAUCAGAAGGGGAUAACACUUGGAAACAGGUGCUAAUACCGUAUAACAAUCGAAACCGCAUGGUUUUGAUUUGAAAGGCGCUUUCGGGUGUCGCUGAUGGAUGGACCCGCGGUGCAUUAGCUAGUUGGUGAGGUAACGGCUCACCAAGGCCACGAUGCAUAGCCGACCUGAGAGGGUGAUCGGCCACAUUGGGACUGAGACACGGCCCAAACUCCUACGGGAGGCAGCAGUAGGGAAUCUUCGGCAAUGGACGAAAGUCUGACCGAGCAACGCCGCGUGAGUGAAGAAGGUUUUCGGAUCGUAAAACUCUGUUGUUAGAGAAGAACAAGGAUGAGAGUAACUGUUCAUCCCUUGACGGUAUCUAACCAGAAAGCCACGGCUAACUACGUGCCAGCAGCCGCGGUAAUACGUAGGUGGCAAGCGUUGUCCGGAAUUACUGGGUGUAAAGGGAGCGCAGGCGGGGGAGCAAGUCAGCUGUGAAAUCUAUGGGCUUAACCCAUAAACUGCAGUUGAAACUGUUCUUCUUGAGUGAAGUAGAGGUUGGCGGAAUUCCGAGUGUAGCGGUGAAAUGCGUAGAUAUUCGGAGGAACACCGGUGGCGAAGGCGGCCAACUGGGCUUUUACUGACGCUGAGGCUCGAAAGUGUGGGGAGCAAACAGGAUUAGAUACCCUGGUAGUCCACACUGUAAACGAUGAAUACUAGGUGUGCGGGGACUGACCCCCUGCGUGCCGCAGUAAACACAAUAAGUAUUCCACCUGGGGAGUACGAUCGCAAGGUUGAAACUCAAAGGAAUUGACGGGGGCCCGCACAAGCGGUGGAUUAUGUGGUUUAAUUCGAAGCAACGCGAAGAACCUUACCAGGGUUUGACAUCCUGCUAACGAAGUAGAGAUACAUUAGGUGCCCUUCGGGGAAAGCAGAGACAGGUGGUGCAUGGUUGUCGUCAGCUCGUGUCGUGAGAUGUUGGGUU
rnacentral:rRNA from 1 species